UACGUAGGUCGCAAGCGUUGUCCGGAUUUACUGGGCGUAAAGAGCGCGCAGGCGGCUGGUCAAGUCCGAUGUGAAAUCUCCCGGCUCAACUGGGAAACUGCAUCGGAAACUGAUCGGCUUGAAGGUGGGAGAGGGUAGUGGAAUUCCCGGUGUAGUGGUGAAAUGCGUAGAUAUCGGGAGGAACACCAGUGGCGAAGGCGGCAUCCUGGACCAACACUGACACUGAUGAGCGAAAGCCAGGGGAGCAAACGGG
rnacentral:rRNA from 1 species